AAGGCUGCCCCACCUAAACCUCCCGAAGCAGCACCAUCAACUUGGAACCAAGUGUUCAAAUGCCAGGAACCUGAGAGGACAUUUCCCACUCAAACCGUGAUGGUUACCAUCCUAUUGGAGAAACCUGUCAGCCUAAAACUGCUGCUACCAGGGAGUCCUCAGGAUCUUCAUGCAAGCACCUCACCAAUUGAGCCUUCAGCCACUGCAAUUUGGCCUGCAGCCGUGUCUAUGAACAAGAUGUAGAACUCUCAGCUCCUCCUGCACUAUGCCUGCCUGGUUGCUGCCAUGCGUAAUGGACUGAACCUCUGAACCUGUAAGCCAGCCCC
rnacentral:lncRNA from 1 species